rnacentral:rRNA from 1 species
UACGAAGGGGGCUAGCGUUGUUCGGAAUCACUGGGCGUAAAGGGCGCGUAGGCGGCUAAUCAAGUCGGGGGUGAAAGCCUGUGGCUCAACCACAGAAUUGCCUUCGAUACUGUUUGGCUUGAGACCGGAAGAGGUUAGUGGAACUGCGAGUGUAGAGGUGAAAUUCGUAGAUAUUCGCAAGAACACCAGUGGCGAAAGCGCGUGACUGGGCCAUAACUGACGCUGAGGAACGAAAGCCAGGGGAGCGAAAGGG